CGGGGUGUGGCUCAGGUGGCAGAGCGUCGGCUUCGGGAGCCGAAGGUCAGGGGUUCAAGUCCCCUCACCCCGA
rfam:Hydrogenobacter thermophilus TK-6 DNA, complete genome.